UGAAGGCCCAGGGCACCCGGGCAGCGGCCCAAGGCUUCCCGGUGAAUGGGCAGCGUCGGGGGAGAGAGCGCCCUUCCACCCACACCUCGGCGGCCUGCGCCCCGUCCUCGUGCUCCCAGAGAGCCUCUCCGGCCGCUCCCCGCACAGCCCCGGCUCCCUGCGGGCCUCGGGGCCAUCGGCGGGCACCGCGCGUCACCUGCGGCGGGAAGCCCGUCCAGCCGGCCUGCAGACCGCGGGGCUGCCCAUGCCGAGCAGGUGCCCGGCCUCUCCUCGGGGCGAGCGGGCCGAGAAGCCUGAAGCUCCAGGGCUCCGGCCGUGUCACCGACGCCCCUUCGGCCUCCUCCUACUCCUGUGCCGGGCGAACUGGCGGCGCCCGCGACAGACGGCCGGCGAGCCCUGGGCAGCUGACCAGCCACGGAAGGCGCGGCAGGGAAACCGAGUCUCCCAUGCUGGCCACGGUCUCCGUGACGCGGGGAGGCCUGUUCCCUGUGGCCCAGCAACGUCCACUCCCGGGCCUCUCCCGGGCCUCCUGUCGCGUGGGCAGCUGACCAGGGUGGGGGGUACCCCCGGCUGCCGACCGCGCGCUGUCGGUAGGAGCGAAAGACUGGAAACCGCCCAGACGGCCGCCAGCGGGGCCCAGCAGGCCCGAGAGGACACGCAGUGGAAGGCUCCGCGGCCCCCGAGGCGCGGGAAAGCUCCCCGCGUGCAGAACGGCAUCCCCAUGGAGGCAGGGCCUAUGUCUGAUCGCUGCUAGAUCCAGAACAGUGCCCAGCACAUAGUAGGUGUUCAACAGACAGUAACUGAGUAAAUUGAUGAGACCCAUUUGGUGGAUGGGGAAACUGAGACUCAGAAUUCACCUGAAACCACCCAGAUGAAAAUCAACCCUGGGCCUGGAUCCCUUUUCCUGGUGCUGCCCUGGGGACCAGCCAUCUGUGUGCUCGGUCCUACGCUGCCCUUCACGAGGACCCUCAGAAUCCCAGGCUCCCCUGCAUCGCUCAUCAUCGCUCAGAGGGAGGAGACCCAGAGGGAGCUCCCAAACACCCAACAGGCAUUGUUCUACCUCAAGGAUCCACAGGUCUGCUGCAGAUGAGGAAACUCAGGCCAGAGAGGGGUCGUUCACUUGCUGCUCCAGGCUACACUGUCAAGUGGAUGCAGGCAUGGAAUCAGUAAGAAGAAUCAGCAUUCGCCGCUGACUACGUGGUGGUCAACCGUGGAAAUGGCCACAGUUCUCCACCUCUCACCUAAAGAUAGAGAGCCUUUCUCCUCACCUCUCGAGUCUAUGGCUUCCUUUGGCUGAUGGGACAUUAAUGGAAAUGAUGCAAACAGAGAACUGAAAAGAACUCCCGCAAGGGGGCUCUCCCCUUCGUAGUUUGUGGAAUGCUGGGUCGCCCACGAACAAGCCUGGGAUGGCCUGCUGGGGAAUGGGCCCAUGUGGACCAGUUGCCCCUGGCACCCCAGCCAAUAGCCAGCUAAUCCCCAGAAGAGCUAUCCUGAUGUCUUACAGCCGACCUACUCAUGAGGGAGCCUGGCAAACAUCGGAAGAACUGCCCAGCUAAGUUCAGCCCAAACUGCCCAUCAGCAGAUCCACGAGCCAGAGAAAUGGAGGUUGUCGAAAAAGACACCAAGUCUAGGGGUGAUUGUUACACAGCAAAAGCUAACUAAUGCAUAUUUUUCACUCUAUUGACUCACCUGGUCACUUGAGUAACUACUUCAGCUUCGUAUACGCAUUUUUCUCUGUACAAUAACAGGUUUGAUGUGCUAACUAUAUUUUGUCUAAAAUACAUUAAGAAAACUA